AGAGUUUGAUCAUGGCUCAGGACGAACGCUUGCGGCGUGCCUAAGAAAUGCAAGUCGAACGGGGUUAGCAGUAAUGCUGAUUCAGUGGCGAACGGUCGCGUAACACGUAAGCAACCUGCCUCGAAGUUUGGGAUAACAGUCUGAAAAGACUGCUAAUACCGGAUGUGGUCCAUUGGCGGCAUCGUUGAUGGUCUAAAGAUUUAUUGCUUCGAGAUGGGCUUGCGGCCUAUCAGGUAGUUGGUGGGGUAAUGGCCUACCAAGCCGACGACGGGUAGCUGGUCUGAGAGGACGAUCAGCCGGAUUGGGACUGAGAUACGGCCCAGACUCCUACGGGGGGCAGCAAUUAGGAAUCUUGCACAAUGGGGGCAACCCUGAUGCAGCGACGCCGCGUGAAGGAUGAAGCUUCUCGGAGUGUAAACUUCUUUUGAUGGGGAAGAAACAAAUGACGGUACCCAUCGAAUCAGCCCCGGCUAGCUACGUGCCAGCAGCCGCGGUAAUAC
rnacentral:rRNA from 1 species